rnacentral:rRNA from 1 species
GACGAACGCUGGCGGCGUGCUUAACACAUGCAAGUCGAACGGAAAGGCCCUGCUUUUGUGGGGUGCUCGAGUGGCGAACGGGUGAGUAACACGUGAUUAACCUGCCCUUGACUUUGGUAUAACUUCAUGAAACUGGGGCUAAUACCGGAUAGGAGCUCCUGCUGCAUGGUGGGGGUUGGAAAGUUUCGGCGGUUGGGGAUGGACUCGCGGCUUAUCAGCUUGUUGGUGGGGUAGUGGCUUACCAAGGCUUUGACGGGUAGCCGGCCUGAGAGGGUGACCGGCCACAUUGGGACUGAGAUACGGCCCAGACUCCUACGGGAGGCAGCAGUGGGGAAUAUUGCACAAUGGGCGGAAGCCUGAUGCAGCAACGCCGCGUGCGGGAUGACGGCCUUCGGGUUGUAAACCGCUUUCGCCUGUGACGAAGCGUGAGUGACGGUAAUGGGUAAAGAAGCACCGGCUAACUACGUG